ncrna:unclassified sequences Glutamine riboswitch
AUCGUUCAUCCACUAGGGACGGAAGUAAGCGUAUAAUAAAUGCUGAAGGAACGCAUU